AAAAAGACAAACCCUGGUUUCCGUGCCCAACAUUUGACCGUCCGUCUUAUUUAAAAAAAUUAUGAAAAAAAAUUAAAAAGACAAGUCACGCAUAAAAUAUUAAUCAUGUUUUAUCAUCUAACAACAAUAAAAAUACGAAUUAUAAAAAAAUUUCAUAUAAGACGGACAGUCAAAGUUGGACAUGAAAACCCAUGGUUUGUUUUUUU
rnacentral:pre_miRNA from 1 species